CACAACACUUCUUUACCCUUUGACCGAAACAGUAGAGGAGAGACAAAAUCUGGAACGGCUCUCUAUCAAGUUCUUUUUCAUGGACUCCCACGCCCUCCUUCUAUCCGGCCUUCUAGCUGGCUAGGCCUAUCUCCGCCGCCGUCGCACGGAACUCCGGCCCCGAGUAGUACGCAGACAACAAUCAGUGGCGCUCGCUGCUGCCGGCACCAUGACAUGUGCCAGCACGGUGCGGGGGUCUCAAAUUCUUUGAUGGCAGCGACCACCAUGGGCGAUGGCAAGGAGGCCUGCCAUGGCCGGCACCACUGAGAUCUCCUGAAGUGGCCUGGAGAAUCACCUCCUCCAUGGAGCAAUCCCCAUGAGGAUCUUCUCGAUUCUACCCCGAACGGCUCUUCUUCCUGCUCAUUGAUGCUACGGCCGGCCAGUUACGUCUCCUUCUGCUUUGUGUGCCUCAUCUCACAAUCAAAGAUAUUUGUAUGGAUGAUCAAUCGAGCAGGGAACACUCUACGCCGACGAGGCGCUCGAGUUGAAGCUCAUCAGAUACCAAAGAAGCGGGUUAGCUCUGCAGUCUGCACCAUUGAGCUGCAUGGGGAUCUGAUGUUUCAACAGGUUAAGUGACAAGCCCAGAGACUGAUGAUAAUGUUUAUAUUAAAAGGUCCAUGGUUCUUUGUUUGCAGUGGCCCUUGGAGUUUGUAUAUAUGUACAUAUAUCAGCUGACCUGAGCUGACUGUUCACAAAUUCCCCCAUUAUCCAUGCAUAGAAUGGGGUAGAAAGGUAAGCCACUCUUCAGUUCCACAAAUUAGCUUGGAAAGGUACAGCAGGCCCUUAAUUUCACAUGCAAACUGUUCACAGGUAGAAGCUCUCAGUCAAUGGAUAAGAUAUCCAGCAUACGAAGAGAAUAGAAGAGGUUAUAGGACAAUUCAUGUUUUCCGGCUACCAAUGUAAUACAAUUAUGGGCCAUGGUACAACUUUGGUUGUCGUUACAGCAAGAGGUCUAACAGACUAUGUACCAUCUGCUAUAAGCGGCACAGUUGGAAAAAAUGAGUCGUUGUCGCCGAGGUACACCAGUAGCCAUCGAUCUUGACAACAUACCAUUCCCCAUCCCGAGUUCUCAAAUGAUCACCACUAUUGAUUCAGUGACAGCACCCAGCAGUGCUUUCAGACUGCCAGCAACUAUUCAGAAAUCUGAACAGCUUUGUUUGCCUGAAGACACGGCCACCCCAUCAGUAGGCAACGAAAAUUCAGAGGUAGAAGACACCAAUUCAGACUUACAAGAGUUAAGCGAAUGCAGCAAACAAUAAAUUGUUUCAACUCCCAGCAACAAUCUUACAAGGAACACUUUUUUUUAUAACAGAACAUAGGCUCCACGACAUAGGCAAACAAAGGAAAAACCAUAAAAGUCAACCACCACGCCAUUGAAAAAAUGGUGGCUGCCUACUCGAACCUACACUGUCAACUCAUAGCCAGUCUAUUUUUUGCAGUGCACCUGCUGAGAAAAGGAAGUAAACAAGGAACUGUUUCCCACCUAACAAAAGGAGCUUAACUUACCAAGACCAAGAAUGCCAUUUAUGCACUACAACCACGGCAGUUCAGAGACUGGAGACAGGGAGUUCAAUUGAUGAAUCAGAAAUUAGUCGCCAAGUUGUCAACCUAAUUGGUCUAGGUGUCAUUCCAGGAACAAGUACUUCUGCCGUAUCACUCCACUAGAUGCUUGCUCAAAUGUUAUGAAUAGUUCUCUAUUAGUUGUCAUGCUCUAACCGAGAAAACUAAAGCCCGCAAUGCUCACAUGUUUAUGCAUAACUAAGCUGUGGCACCCUGGCCCCUGUCUAGCCAGGCUUUGUAUGCCAGUAUAUACCUUUUUUCCCAGUGUAAAGAUGCAUCAGCGCUGGCUGGCCUCUGCUAUGUAAUCCAAUGUAUACGUACGUAUGUAUGGUAGGACAUGAGCCUUCUUCUGCUGUC